UACGUAGGGGGCAAGCGUUGUCCGGAAUCAUUGGGCGUAAAGCGCGUGUAGGCGGCCCGGUAAGUCCGCUGUGAAAGUCCAGGGCUCAACCCUGGGAUGCCGGUGGAUACUGUCGGGCUCGAGUCCGGAAGAGGCGAGUGGAAUUCCUGGUGUAGCGGUGAAAUGCACAGAUAUCAGGAGGAACACCAAUGGCGAAGGCAGCUCGCUGGGACGUGACUGACGCUGAGGAGCGAAAGCAUGGGGAGCGAACAGG
rnacentral:rRNA from 1 species